rnacentral:rRNA from 1 species
CCCUUAGAUGUUCUGGGCCGCACGCGCGCUACACUGAUGCAUUCAACGAGUCUAAAACCUGCUCUGAUAGGGGUGGGUAAUCUUUUGAAUGUGCAUCGUGAUUGGGAUAGAUGAUUGCAAUUUUUCAUCUUCAACGAGGAAUGCCUAGUAAACGCAAGCCAUCAGCUUGCAUUGAUUACGUCCCUGCCCUUUGUACACACCGCCCGUCGCUCCUACCGAUUGAAUGAUCCGAUGAAUAUCAUGGAUUGAGGAUGCAAGCAGGUUCGCCUGUCUUCAUCUUCGAGAAGUGAAGUAAAUCUUAUCAUUUAGAGGAAGGAGAAGUCGUAACA